rnacentral:rRNA from 1 species
AAGGUGCUGACGAGUGGCGAACGGGUGAGUAAUGCAUCGGAACGUGCCCAGUCGUGGGGGAUAACGCAGCGAAAGCUGUGCUAAUACCGCAUGUGGUCUCUGGAUUUAGAAACCGGUGACGUAAAGGAGCAAUUCGCGUUUGGGAGGGACCUGCCGUCCCAUCAGCUAGUUGGUGAGGUAACGGCUCACCAAGGCGACGACGGGUAGGGGACCUGAGAGGGUGGCCCCCACAAUGGAACUGAAACACGGUCCAUACACCUACGGGUGGCAGCAGUAGGGAAUAUUGGUCAAUGGGCGAAAGCCUGAACCAGCAACGCCGCGUGUGCGAUGAAGGCCUUCGGGUCGUAAAGCACUUUCUGGGAGAUGAGAAAGGACAGUAUCCCAGGAAUAAGUCUCGGCUAACUACGUG